rnacentral:misc_RNA from 1 species
CCCACUCCAAGCCAUCAUCACCCUCCUUUAGCCCCAAGCCUUCACUCCUUUAACCUCCUAGCCUUCACUCCUUUAAGAUGGCUGCGUGAGAAAGAAAUAAUGAAUUCUAAAUAAACAAAAAGCAAGCUGGAAUUAUGCUACCUUCUCUCUUUAGUUGAUAGAGAUAGAAAUUCUUCCCUAUUUUAUCUCUUCACUUUCUGAGACUCAGGUCUCUUUUUUUAUCGGCUUGCAAGUGUCCACUGCUCCUUCCGAAUAGGGGAUGGCUCUCCUCCUCCAAGCUGGACGUGGGUUCCUUCCCUUCGCACCUUCGGGGAGAUUGCGGAUAUUUUUGUGUUUUUUCCCCUUUUGGUGUAGAUCAGCGAGUUUAGAGAGAUAUUUUUGUUGGAUCUGCUUGAUUUGUGUCUAGGUAACUUGUUUGGGUGUUGCUUGUGUUCUUGCAGAAGAAGAUUGGUCAUCUCAAGGUCCUUUCUAACACCUAUUGGUGUCCUUUGACCCUAUAGCUAUAAGAGAAUGGGAGGCUGGGAGCUCUGCGCUAUGAAGCACUGAAACGAUAUUGGGUAGCGUUUUCCAGUGUCUGAAACAUUUCCAUAUCGGAAAUGAGAUGACAUGGCUCUGAGACGUUUCCAUGCAAUUUCCAGAAAUACUACAAAUCAUAAACGCAUUUCU